UACGGAGGGUGCAAGCGUUGCUCGGAAUUAUUGGGCGUAAAGGGUAGGUAGGUGGUCUCAUUUGUCUGGGGUGAAAGCCCAGGGCUUAACCCUGGAAGUGCCCCGGAAACGGUGAGACUGGAGUCUUGGAGAGGGUCGUGGAAUUCCCGGUGUAGCGGUGAAAUGCGUAGAGAUCGGGAGGAACACCAGAGGCGAAGGCGGCGACCUGGACAAGCACUGACACUCAACUACGAAAGCGUGGGGAGCAAACAGG
rnacentral:rRNA from 1 species